rnacentral:rRNA from 1 species
ACUAGAGUAGCACUCGCAUAUCAAUAAGCGGAGGAAAAGAAACUAACAAGGAUUCCCCUAGUAACGGCGAGUGAAGCGGGAAGAGCUCAAAUUUGAAAUCUUAAAGGGUUUCCCUUUACGAAUUGUAGUUUAAAGAAGUGUUUUCUGUUGAGGUUUUGGUAAAAGUUCUUUGGAAUAGGACAUCAUAGAGGGUGAGAAUCCCGUAUUUGACCUUUACUUUCAACUUUGUGAUACACUUUCAAAGAGUCGGAUUGUUUGGGAAUGCAGUCCAAAAUGGGUGGUAAAUUUCAUCUAAAGCUAAAUAUUGGCGAGAGACCGAUAGCGAACAAGUACCGUGAGGGAAAGAUGAAAAGAACUUUGAAAAGAGAGUUAAACAGUACGUGAAAUUGUCAAAAGGGAAGCGUUUGACACCAGUGUUGUUUUUCUGAAAAUCAAUUAAAGAACUGUUUAUGCUAAGCUGUUUAGACUUUAUCAGCUAUCUGUUUAGUUUUGAGCUUUUCUUUAAUGCACUUUUCAGUUAACAAGUCAACAUCAAUUUCCUUUUGCUGUAAAAAAGCUUGAGGAAGGUGGCUUGAGAUUCGUCUUAAGUGUUUAUAGCCUCUUGCCUAUGCAGUCGGAGAGAUUGAGGUCUGCAGCGUAGAUCCUUCGGGGCUAAAUGCAUUUGUGCUAAGUUAUAGCAUUUUAUAGACAACUUGUUGACUAUGAUUUGUCUUGUAGCUUACUCGCUUAUGUUAUUUUACCUACGCUUAGGAUGUUGAUCUACAGAGCGAGAGU